CAAAAACAUCGCCUCCUGCUAAAUCUUCGAAGUAUAGGAGGUCCUGCCUGCCCAGUGACUUCUUGUUAAAUGGCCGCGGUAUUUUGACCGUGCUAAGGUAGCGCAAUCACUUGUCUUUUAAAUGAAGACCCGUAUGAAUGGUAAAACGAGGGCUUAACUGUCUCCCUUUUUUGGUCAAUGAAAUUGAUCUGCCCGUGCAGAAGCGGGCAUAUUAAUACAAGACGAGAAGACCCUUUGGAGCUUAAGACAAAAAGCCAACUGUAUAAAAACCCAUAUAAAAUGAAGUUUAACAAAACAGCCAUUUGGCCCACGUCUUCGGUUGGGGCGACCACGGAGUAAAACAAAACCUCCAUACAGAAUGGGAUUCCCUCUAAACCAAGAGAUACAUCUCUAAGUCGCAGAACAUCUGACUAUAAGAUCCGGCUUAUAAAGCCGAUCAACGGACCAAGUUACCCUAGGGAUAACAGCGCAAUCCCCUUCAAGAGUCCCUAUCGACAAGGGGGUUUACGACCUCGAUGUUGGAUCAGGACAUCCUAAUGGUGCAGCCGCUAUUAAGGGUUCGUUUGUUCAACGAUUAAAGUCCUACGUGAUCUGA
rnacentral:rRNA from 1 species